GUGCUUGCUUCCACAGCUUAUGUACUAAAAUUGGAACAAUACAGAGAUCCACAUGGCCCCUACAUAAGGAUGAUGUGCAAACACAUGAAAUACUCCACAUUUUC